CUACCACAUCCAAGGAAGGCAGCAGGCGCGCAAAUUACCCACUCCCGGAACGGGGAGGUAGUGACGAAAAAUAACAAUACGGGACUCUUUUGAGACCCCGUAAUUGGAAUGAGUACACUCCAAACCCUUUAACGAGGACCCAUCAGAGGGCAAGCCUGGUGCCAGCCGCCGCGGUAAUUCCAGCUCUGAUAGCGUAUAUUAAAGUUGUUGCGGUUAAAAAGCUCGUAGUUGGAUCUCAGUGCCCGACGGGCGGUCCGCCUACCGGCGGCCACUGCCCGGUCGGCACAUCACGGCCGGUUUCCCCCGAUGAUCUUCACCGGUUGUCUCGGGUGACCGGCAAGUUUACUUUGAAAAAAUUAGAGUGCUCAACGCAGGCGCGACGCCUGGAUAAUGGUGCAUGGAAUAAUGGAAUAGGACCUCGGUUCUAUUUUGUUGGUUUUCGGAACACGAGGUAAUGAUUAAGAGGGACAGACGGGGGCAUUCGUAUUGCGACGCUAGAGGUGAAAUUCUUGGACCGUCGCAAGACGAACUACUGCGAAAGCAUUUGCCAAGAAUGUUUCCAUUAAUCAAGAACGAAAGUUAGAGGUUCGAAGGCGAUCAGAUACCGCCCUAGUUCUAACCAUAAACGAUGCCAGCCAGCGAUCCGGCUGCGUUCCUCAAAUGACGCGCUGGGCAGCUUCCGGGAAACCAAAGCCUUUGGGUUCCGGGGGAAGUAUGGUU
rnacentral:rRNA from 1 species